GUGGCUUAAUUUGACUCAACGCGGGAAAUCUUACCGGGUCCGGACACACUGAGGAUUGACAGGCAAUAUUAGCACUUAGCUUCGGCGACGUGUUAUGUUAAAUAUGCUAGUCCUUUCAUGAUUAUGUGAUAGGUGGUGCAUGGCCGUUCUUAGUUCGUGGAGUGAUCUGUCUGCUUAAUUGCGUUUCACCAAGGGCCUAUAAUUUUACGUGUGUUGCGGCACUUUGACCCCUCUUUUUUUAAAGAGCGCGUGUCUUGGUUUGCUUAGCUCGCACAAUUAGGUCCUGAAAGCAACGAACGUGACCGCAACCUCUUGUUGCCUUUAUACCAAACGUGCAUAUGUAAUUUUUUUAAAUUGCUUUGCGCGCAAAAAGGCUUUUUAAACUAGAGGGACCGCUGUUACUUUCUUAAACCAGAGGAAGGUUGCGGCAAUAACAGGUCUGUGAUGC
rnacentral:rRNA from 1 species